AUGAGGAUUAAUUUUUUUAUUAAACAAAAUGCUUUGACUGGAUGAUAACACAAACUUUUGUUUCAUUUCAGCAACAGUUUGGCAUUUGCAACAGAGCCAGUGGUUGCAAGUCUUGCCAAUUUCCUAGGAAACUAUGAGAGAAUGCCAGUACCUGUACCUCCAUGCAUAAAAGACAGAGAAUUUCUAGAGCUUGAAAUAAAGUAUGGCAUAUUACAGAUAACAGAAGCAUUAUCAUACCUACAUGGUACUGAACAGAUGAUUCAUCGUAAUGUUUGUCCUCAAUCUGUACUUGUUACAAAAACAGGAAGUUGGAAACUAGCUGGACUAGGCUUUGCCGAGGUGGUUGCAAAUGGAA